GGAACUGAGCUCGAGGUCGGGGGAGGCGGCUUGUUAAAUCCGCCCCCUCCUCAUACCCAACUUCCGAGGGGGGAAGCGGUAGAGUGGAGGUUGGGGUUGGACCAGCGGCGAGGGGGCCCCUCCCUUGCACCUCCCCCCACCGGACUUGGUCGCGUCCGAAGUGUAACACUUUCUCUUUGUCGGAGGAGCUCCUCUCUUUCCUGUGCGGUAGCUCCCGUUGCGGCGGCGCCCGUGGUAGUCCUGGCGGACCCAGGAGAGAUGGCAGCGACCGAUAUAGCUCGCCAGGUGGGUGAAGGUUGCCGAACUCUCCCCCUGGCUGGACAUGUGGGGUUUGACAGCUUGCCUGACCAGCUGGUGAAUAAGUCAGUCGGCCAGGGCUUCUGCUUCAACAUCCUGUGCGUGGGAGAGACUGGUUUGGGCAAGUCCACCCUCAUGGACACCCUGUUCAAUACAAAGUUUGAAGGGGAGCCAGCCACCCACACGCAGCCAGGUGUACAGCUUCGGUCCAAUACCUAUGACCUCCAAGAGAGCAAUGUGGGGCUAAAGCUCACGAUCGUUAGCACGGUGGGCUUUGGGGACCAGAUCAACAAGGAGGACAGCUACAAGCCCAUCGUGGAAUUCAUCGAUGCUCAGUUUGAAGCUUACCUGCAGGAGGAGCUGAAGAUCCGAAGAGUGCUGCACACCUACCAUGACUCUCGAAUCCACGCCUGCUUGUAUUUCAUUGCCCCAACGGGGCAUUCCCUGAAGUCUCUGGACCUAGUGACAAUGAAGAAGCUGGACAGUAAGGUGAACAUCAUCCCCAUCAUUGGCAAAUCAGAUACCAUUUCUAAAAGUGAGCUAACGAAGUUCAAAAUCAAAAUCACCAGCGAGCUUGUCAGCAACGGGGUCCAGAUCUAUCAGUUCCCUACAGAUGACGAGUCGGUGGCAGAGAUCAACGGAACCAUGAAUGCCCACCUGCCGUUUGCUGUCAUCGGCAGCACAGAAGAAGUGAAGAUAGGCAACAAGAUGAUGAAGGCGCGGCAGUAUCCUUGGGGCACUGUGCAGGUUGAAAACGAGGCCCACUGCGACUUUGUGAAGCUGCGGGAGAUGCUGAUUCGGGUCAACAUGGAGGAUCUGCGGGAGCAGACCCACACCCGGCACUAUGAGCUGUACCGCCGCUGUAAGCUGGAGGAGAUGGGCUUCAAGGACACCGACCCUGACAACAAACCAUUCAGCUUGCAGGAGACAUAUGAGGCCAAAAGGAAUGAGUUCCUAGGGGAGCUCCAGAAAAAAGAAGAGGAGAUGAGACAGAUGUUCGUCCAGAGAGUGAAAGAGAAAGAAGCAGAACUCAAAGAGGCAGAGAAAGAGCUUCAUGAGAAGUUUGAUCGCCUGAAGAAACUGCACCAGGACGAGAAGAAGAAGCUGGAGGAUAAGAAGAAAUCUCUGGACGAUGAAAUACACGCUUUUAAACAGAGAAAGACGGCAGCCGAGCUGCUCCAGGCCCAGGGUCCCCAGGCUGGAGGUACACAGACUCUGAAGAGGGACAAAGAAAAGAAAAAUUAACCCUGCUGUUUGCUGCAUGCUGCAUGAGACCCAGGGUCCCGCUUUUUUUAAUCUUGUCUUCAGCAGCUGCACUAAGUCUAAAGGAGAAGACUGCCAUUAUAGAAGAGUUAGGGUUCCAUAUUGUCUCAAACCAGAAAUCAUCCAAUUUCCUCUCCCCUCAAACUGCGUGCACACACACACACCACUCAACAAGUGUUCAUGUGUCCCCGUGUCCAGGCAAGAAGCUCUCUUCUGACUUACAUGGUAUUUUAAAUGGAAAUGUCUUGUCCUAAACUAACAUGGCAGGAAAAGAACCAUCAGAGCUGGAAAAUGGACCAAAUGUAAACUCAAAGAGACAACUAUAGGACCACUCACCCAAGUGUAAGUGACUGGGGCAGAAUACCCCAGCUGGGUGUGGAAGUGCUAUUCACAACUUUUUGUUUGAGUUUUAUGUUUUUCUUUUUAAACAACAAUUCUCUGGUUCAAUGGGUUGACUGUCUAUGGCCACCAUUAAACAUUGCUGAAUAUGGAAGAGAAAGUCAAGUGACAUUUGUAUCUUCUUCAGCAUUCACAGACCUUCUGCAGACCCCAGCAAGGGGGAAAAAUGGAUCCACUAACACUCAGGUGGAAAAGAGAGAGAAUAAAAGGGAGUUUAAGCUUAGCUAGAGCAAAAUUACUCCAUUCAACUUUCCAAGGCCAGUUGGGGUUUUGAGAGGUUUCUGCUCAACCUGGGAUCUGGAGGGAGAGCUUUGUUGUUGAUAAAUCUGCCUUGAAUUCAUUGGUUUAACUUGCAUCAAAAUACCAUGUGAGUGUGCUCAUUACCAUAUAUCCUUACCACCGUCACCACCAUUCUGCUGUCCAGUGUCUCUUGAGAGAGCCUCUUUGCAUGUUUUCCAGAAUCUGUGUUUGUUUUUCCUUUCUUCUCCUUUGUUCUUUUUGCUCAAAGGUGUUACCAGUCACUGCCCCUCUGGGGCUUUCAUUCUCCAGGAGAAACAUCCCAGAACCAGCACUGUUUAGCUUGAUGCCUUUCUAAUAUCCAUGUCAAUUUUCAAUAAAAUUCAAAGAAAUGCUAAA